rnacentral:miRNA from 17 species
ACAUAGGGAGGGAAGCCAUGGA